UUUUUUUUACGUAUUUCGCGAAAAAAAAAAAAAUUCUGGGAAAAGUGCAAAAUAAGGAGGGGGGAGGAGUUAUUGAAAUUUUGAAAAUGCGAUUUUUUGAAAAUUUCUUUUUCAGAAUCGGAUCCUCUAUAACCAAAAACAUAAGAUUCCGUAAAAAAUUUCUUUCAGAGAAAUUUCCCGCAGUAAUAUGAUAAAGUAUUCAUAUGAAAUUAAAAUGGCCAUUUUUUCCCCCAAACUUUCUUUUUAUUUUUACACGAACGCACUAUAUUGCGGACAGAGAUUCCAAAUCUGCAAAAAAUGUAAGAAAUUUAUGGCGGGGUGGUGGUUAAAUUUUGAAAUGCAGAUUCGGAAUCUCUGCCCACGAGAUAGUGUGUUCAUGUAAAAACAUCCCCCCCAAAUCCCAUGAUCUUUACCUCCGCCAAAAAUAUUUUUUUAAAUCCCCCACCAAUUUAAAUUUUUGAUUAUGUUUACUUUAAAGAGAUCGGGGGGAGGUAAAAAUCGGGACCCCACCCCCUUUGGGACUUCUUUUUUUAUGUUGUUACAGGAACACACUAUAUCGAUGGCGGAGAUUCCGAAUCUGCAAAAAAAAAAAGUCUGCAUUUCAAAAGUUAAAUCUCCCCCUCCCCCAUUUCUUAAAUUUUCACUUUUUCAAAAAAUCUGUUUUGGUGAAAUGCGUAGAAAAAUACAGAGAUUAUGAUUCUGAAAAAAAAAAAAAAAUUCUAAAAUUUCAAUUUUUCAAAAAAAUAAAUAAACACCCAUUUCCCUCCGUCCUAUGGCUAGAAGUGAAAUUAAAAUGUUUUCUCUACUAAUGUUUGAGGUAUACGUAGAAUUAUAAAAUAGUAGACGCAAAAAGAAAAUCUAACAUGCGAGAAACACGUUUUCAAAAUUUUAAUACGAAUUACCAAAUAAAAAAUUUCAAAAUUUAACCCCCCCCCCCUGCCCAAUUUCAUUUUUCACUUAUUUUAGAAAUAUUUUUUGGGCGAAAUAUGUAGGAAAAUACGGAAAUUAUGAGUUGAUCUUCGGUUUGGCUCUCUCAAAGUUUGAUAAUUUUCACCCAAUCAGGAAGCAGGAUUUGGAAACUGUCAUUUUAUGCGUGACAACAUGUCUUGUCAACUGUAAACAAUGCUAAUAAAUUGGGUAGGUGGGGGUAAAUGAAAUUAAAAAAAUUUUUUUUUCUAAAUCGUAAUCUCCGAUAUUGAAAACAAGAAUCUGAAAAAAUUUGGGGGCUAAUGCAGAAUCACCCCUCUCCUUGAAAAAUGCACUUUUUUGAAAAACUUUUUUCGGAUUUCUACAUUUUGGAUGUCGGAGAUUACGAAUAUGCAAAAAAAAAAAAAAAAUUGGCGGAGGUAAAGAUCAUAGACCGCACCCCUUUUGGGAUUCUUUUUACAUGAACGCACUAUAUUGCGGUCAGAGACUUCAAGUUCUUUUUUUUGUCGAUUUUUAAACCUCUGUAACUUUUUUCUCCACAUUAUACUUUCAGAGCAAUGAAACUGGAAUAUAAUAAUUAUAGCCAAUUUUCAGACUUUUUAAUGUCUUCUAUAAAAAGCAUAUUUUGCGAUGGAAAAAACUAGAUCCAUCCCAGCAAUGGACCACCUGUGUGUUACUUCCGCAUCAUCAUUCCGUAAAAUGUAUUUAUGGGGACAAAAAUAUUGAAAAACACUAAUACAUGUCAGAUUGACAAAGAUUUUCAUCCCUCCCCCGUGGUUUUUAAGUGCUUAGUGCAAAACAAAUUGGCCCAAAUCAGUUCAGAGUUUUUUAAAAAAUCAUAAAUAUUCGAAAAUUUUAUUUCAUUAAAAGAUGCCUUACCAUCAUUUUCAAGGUGGCGGUAAAGAAAAAAAGAAAAGCAAAGAGAAGAAAGAAAGAAAGAAAAACACUGGGAAAACCUUGCCAACUUAUGUGGGUGUCCUAAUCUGAAACUCCGCGAUAGUUGUUAAUUGGUUGAUUUUAGGUUCAAAGUCGUUGUGGGAGGAGAAAAUCACUUUAUCUCUCCAGUUAGUCAAGUUACACAUAGUCAUAGUGAAGAUAUUUUUAUAUCAGAGACAGAAAACAAACAAACAAAAAAUAUAUUCGUUUAGUUUGUCAAACUUAGAUACAUUAAUAGAAUGUCGACACCAGUAACAACACAGCCCAGAACUUCAGAUUUAAGUAAGGGUAGCGAGCAACCACCGCCGGUUGGAUAUGCACCACAACCCGGUGGUUAUUCAACCCAACCCGGAGGAUAUGGACCACAACCGGAAGCUCAAGGGUUUCAACAGUGGAUGACCAGGCCAACAGUUAGUAAUUGUCCACCUGGUUUAGAAUACUUGACAACGAUUGACCAACUUUUGGUGAAGCAGCAAGUUGAAAUCGUAGAAGCAUUAACUAGCUUCGAAUGUGCUAACAAAUAUAUUAUGAUCAAUUCAGUUGGACAACAAGUAUAUUUUGCAGGCGAAGAGUCUGAUUUAUGCAUGCGUCAAUGCUGCGGCCCUGCACGAGGUUUUGUGAUACACAUAACUGAUAAUAUGGGACAAGAAGUUAUGAGGAUAACUAGAGAAUUCAAAUGCUGUGCUGGAUGUUGUUGGUGCGCCAAUACCAAACAUUGUGCUUUUGAAGUAACAGUUGAAGCUCCUGUCGGUCAAGUAGUUGGCAAAGUAAAACAAACUUGUAGCUUCAUACGACCCCUGUUCGACAUUACCACACCCGAUGAUGAUGUUGUUUUCCGAAUCAAAGGACCAAUUUGUAUUUGUGACGGUCCUUGCUGUUUGCAGGAUCAAAAGUUUGAAGUUUUGGAUCACAGUGAAACGAACUCUAUAGGAACGAUCAGUAAACAAUAUGCUGGUUUUGUCAAUGAAAUGUUCACAAACGCAGACAAUUUUGGAGUUACAUUUCCAUUGGAUUUAGAUGUCAAAAUGAAAGCAACAAUAAUUGGAGCUCUCUUUCUGAUAGAUUUCAUGUUUUUCGAACGUAAAAAUUAAUAAAUUUACAAUUGAAUUCGAUGGAAUUAUGUAUAUUUGCCUUAAAUAUUGUGCAGAUAUACUUUUUACACAUGAUGCAACUUUUGAGAAACUAUUAUAACCCUAAUGUACUUUACUUAUUCCAGGUUUUUUUCCUGAACUUUGAAUUCCAAAACACGCACUUUUUCUAAUCUCAGUGUAGUUUUAUUUCCAAGUUUACGAGGAGGUGCUGUAAAGUUCCUGGCUUUAAGGAUAUUGCGAAAGGCCUGAUUGGAGGCCCAACAUUCCGAGUUCUUUUACAUAUUAUUAAAGACAUUUUCAACAAAUACCGCUUAGAUGCUGUAGAUUCAAAGUAUAAAGGGAUUUGUGGGAAAGAAUGUAUCCGAGGGGUUGGUGAGAAGAGUUUCGGAAAAUUUAUACGACCCGACUGUUUUUCCUCAUAUUUUUCAACAAAAAUUGGACCGGAUUGUGAUGGUGAGGGAAGGGAUGAUUAAAACAAUCAUACAUUUUUAAAACUUUUUUUCACUAAAAGAUUCCCCCAUCAUUUCGAAGGCUACAUGAAAAAAAGAAAAGGGAAAAAUACCCGUCAAAAUGGAGAAAUUCCAACUUAUAUGGUCUUCCUGAUCUGAAAGAUUCCCAUUUUCCUGAAACUUACGAGGGAAGAAAGUCGGGUCGUGUGAAAUUUCCGAAACCCCUCGGAAAAAACAAACAAAUAAAUCCCUAUAUACUCUGAAUCUACAGCAUCUAAGUGGUAUUUUUUGAAAAUUUCGUUGAGAAUUACCUGUUUCAGGAAGUUGAGGCAACAUAACUUAUUAGUGUCAAUAUAUUUGGUUUCAGUGAAGACUUUCUCCUCAAACAACACUUGUUUUGAUUUUAUCGUUUUCGCCUACCCUCUCACCAGCUUCCUUGGAAUUGGAUUUUACGUUUACUUUUUGAUUAUAAUUUUUACUUUUAUUCUAAGCUAAGUACAAUUAUUUCCUGUUCCUUUUUUUUUUUUAUCUACUUAACGUUCUCUUUUACAAAUAAUUUGUUUGAUGACAGAUAUCGUUGUCAUGUUUUUAAUAUUCAAAGCUAUUUUCCCAUGUAAAUAUUUUCAUUGUACAAACAAAACAAAAAAGUUAUCUUGCAAAAUUAAGAAAUAAGCUAAGCAAAAGAAGUAGAAAAAAAUAUACUUAUAAGAAAUUUGAAUUUAUAUUUUUUGCUGAACAAGUUCAUGAAUUCUAGUUGUAGCACUCCGAACGAAAUGCUUUGCGGUAUUUCGUCUGAUUUUACGUCUGCGUUCAAAUCCUGCUGAGGUUAACUUUGCCUUUCAUCUUUUCGAGGUCGACAAAAUGAUACCAGUUGAGAACUAGGGUCGACUUAACACCUCCCUCAAAAUUUCAGUCCUUGUGCUUAUUGUAAUUCAAGAUUAGAUUGUAGUCUGAAGACUGUUAAUGAUGCUAAACUCUGUCUUAUUCUUCGGCAAUCCAUUGCUUUUGGUCUCGGAAAACUACAAGUAUUUACUUAGCAAGUUCCAUAAAACAUUUUUAUUUCUUCACUUUUUUUUUUUCCAGCUUACAUACACACAAAUAUCCAAACAUGCACAUAAACACAAACACAUACAUAGACAAAAAACAUAAACAUAAGCGAUUCGUGAAAACAGAAAACGUGUAUAUUUAUGUAUGUAUGUGUAUCAGUGAGUGUGUGUUAGCAUGUGCGUGUCUGUUCAAGUCGCUCGUGCAAAAGUAAGACAAUGAAUGUGUGUGUGGGACCUUUUUUUUUCACUGUUCAGCUGCAAAAAUAAACUGAAAAACAAAAAUCUUAUACGGAACUUGCCGAACAAAUACAUUUAAUUGUCAGAGACCAAUUUGCUAAAAUCGAUAAUUUGUUUUAAAUAUUCUUUACACGCAAAGCACACAUUUUCAUUAAAAUAUGGUAAUUAUUACUUCUUUCAUGGUUUGAAUGCAGGGAAAAAAUAUUGCAAUGAUCUUUCCUCAUUUUAAGAAAAUAUCUUAGACUUUAUAUUUUGUAUUUACUUGUGAGACUUUGCUUAACCAAGUUUUACAUUCAACGCUUACUCCAUAACUUAGUAUUCAAGUCACACCCACCACAAACUUUUGAUGGAACUUAUAUGAACAUGUUAUUACUUUUUUUUUUGAUCAAAGUGUGUUUAGUUGACUAAAAUAAAAUUUCUAAGUUAACAUAGAACAUACUGCUAUACAAUAAUUUUGGUAUUCUACGAAUCAUGUAAAAGAUAUUAUUUUCGAAUACUUAACAACCUGUUAAUUUUGCUAUACAUUUGUAAUCAUACAUUACUGCCUGCCAAUUAAUGAUACCUAAUUUAUAUCACUAGGUGUUUACACCUAACUGAAAGAAGUAAUUUCACUGCCAGUCAAUGAUUAACUUUGGUUGGAGUUUUCACUCCAUUGAUGAUUAUGACCUAUCUAAACCACGAAGCUAAACUUGGUCUUCAUAAGUGGAAUUUGUUUUAUCUGGAGAAAUAUGUAAAAUAUCAAAAAUCGGAAACUCUAAUUCAGUCCUUCCCCCCGUUUUCCCUUGUUCUUGCUCAUUAUCUGUGGAAAUGUUCACCUCCAUUUCUCAUUAUCUUAUCAAAUAUACCACUAUAUUUUGUUCUAGUUAUUAGGUUAUUUGUAAAUUAGCGGGUACCUUGACGAAAAGAGUUGAUUAACUAUUAACCUAACAAAUUUUAGAAGAUAAAUGCAAUACGCUGUUUUACGAUUUUUUUAACCACAUAAAUAUAAAUAAUGCAAAAUAGGUCAAAUGUUGUUUGAUAAGUUAGAUGUUAUUUUUGUCCGAUACGGGCAGCUGUCUUUUCAGUCUUUUCUUAACCACUUGUUACUCCAACUUCCUUUUAAUGUCAAGUUGAAUCGACCAUUACAUAAUGUAGUGGUAUUCAAAAGUACCCUUUAAAAAGAAUUUUAGAAUCAUAUGGUGGGAAGUCUUAAUCUGUGCUAUACAACCUAAAAUAUUUCUUGAUCAAAUUGUAUGGCGGAAGGGUAGCAGAUAGUGAAUAUUUUGUUACUACCCCUCCCCCACAUAUUUUCUUUUUAUUUGUCUUCUUGGUAAGGUAGUCCUGGGGUUUUUUCUCAAUACUUUGAUCAAUUGUAUUUUUAAUGUUUUUUCAUUCUUUUCUUUAAAAUAUGUUGCUAAAUAGAAUUUCUUAUUAAAAAAUAAUAAUAAUAAGGCAGUAAACAAAACAUUUGAAUUGGUGCUGAAAAUCAUUUACUUUGUGUGUGUGUUUAUCUAUUUAAUCCAUUUUACUUAGCUUGGUAUUACGAAAAAGUUAAAUCAUUGAACUCGGAUAUUAACAGCUAUGUGUAGCUUUAUUCUCGACCGUCCUAUCUGUAUUCAUCAUGCUACUGUAGGGCUUCAAAACUGAGGCCCUAAAACAUCAGAAAGCAGGCUGUUGUUUAAACUACGUCACGUGUAAAAAUAACAAGGUUCGUUAAUUUGGAUAAGUUCAUAUACUGUGGCAACAUAAAAAUCCUAACAUUUCGAGUAAAUUCCUUUGAGAGAGAAAAAAUGUUUGAAUCUCCAGACAAUCUGUGUAAAGCAGAUUGAUGGCAGUAGGAUUUUGUUUGAAAUGUCCAAAUUAUCAUCUCCACAUGAAAUAUACGAGCUUGGAUAAUUUUCGCCGAGGCAGACUACAACAGUUUCCCCAGACUUCUAUUUUAUUUUUUGGUUUAUUGUACUAACAAGUUGAUCACUUUUCUGAGUGAAUCCAACAUUAAUGAACAAAAAUUUAUAUUUUAUAUUCUAUUAUUUUUAUUCUACCUGAUACUUUGCAAGCUUUUGGCAAUUUUAUUCUUACUUUUCCUACAAAAGCCUCAUUGGUUUCAUAUUGUUAUUGUUAUUAUUUUUCUUCAAUAGCAAAUGCCUUUGUAUAUUUACGCAGUUUUGUUAUUGAUUUUUGAAAUUAAAAAAAGAACAAACUAA